GACGAACGCUGGCGGCGUGCUUAACACAUGCAAGUCGAACGGAAAGGCCCCUUCGGGGGUACUCGAGUGGCGAACAGGUGAGUAACACGUGAGUAACCUGCCCUUGACUUCGGGAUAACUUCAGGAAACUGGGGCUAAUACCGGAUAGGAAUCCUUGCUGCAUGGUGGGGGUUGGAAAGCUUCGGCGGUUUUGGAUGGACUCGCGGCUUAUCAGCUUGUUGGUGGGGUAGUGGCUUACCAAGGCUUUGACGGGUAGCCGGCCUGAGAGGGCGACCGGCCACAUUGGGACUGAGGUACGGCCCAGACUCCUACGGGAGGGAGCAGGGGGGAAGAAUGCACAAUGGGCGGAAGCCUGAUGCAGCAACGACGCGGGCGGGAUGACGGCCUUCGGGUUGUAAACCGCUUUCAGCAGGGGCGAAGCUUGUGGUGACGGUACCUGCAGAAGAAGCACCGGCUAACUACGUG
rnacentral:rRNA from 1 species